UUUCACCAAACACACUCACGCAGAGACUGGUCCUUUAAACCUUCGUCCCUUUAAAUCUUACCCAAACAAACGCUUUCGGUUCGCGUAGGCAGACCAGGGUAGGCUAGCUCUCUCUGACCGCGCCAUGUGACUUAUUUUUUUAGGGUCAUGCUCCUAAUGAGAGAGUGACCCGCCGGCUAGGGGGACUGGGAGUAGGUUGGGAGCGUUAACUGGUUAAGUAACAGAGUAGAAAAUGAGAGAGACACUGGGAUGUGUGAUGGAUGAGUGAGAGGGAAUAGAAGGGUGUAAGCUGUUUGACGUAAGGGUGACAGGCUGAGGUGUGCGUCCGUGUGUACACGUAUGUGGUGUUGCCAUGGUGACGGUGGUGGUGGGCAUGACACAGAUGCGGGAGGUGGAGUUUGUGCCCAAUGGAGACAUGCACCUGGACAAAUUGUGUUGGUCAUUGGUCAGACUGGAGUUUACAUGUGUACCUCCUUCACCAUCAUUGGUGGACACUUCACCAUGAGUGAUGCUUGAGCUGUCACGGUGCUGCUGCUGCUGUCUGCCAUCAUGCCCCUGACACUGACCACCCUGCAGACACCUUCAUCCUGGGUGCCACACAUCACUGCUGCUACAACUCAGAGCAACUGGAGCGCAAGCCAGGAAGGGAGAUAGUUACUUUUCACUUAAUUUGUUGUUUAUUUGAGGGCCUAAUGACAGACACAUAAUGGAAUGAGUAUUUGUGAAUGUUUGUUUAUAUCUAGAUACAGCAUUCACAUAUCUUUUAAGUGCCACCUUCCAAAAACAAUGUCAGCCAGAAAAAUAACUGAUGAAUCUAAUUACAUUUCAAGUCAAAAAGUUUUCCUUUAACCACUUUGCUCCAGAUGCUUAAAAACAUGCGUUGCUCACAUACAUGGCGUCGCGUAGGCUCGUGAGUGGUAACUUAUCUAAUUUCUAAUAAUUUCUAAUAUAAUUUCUGUGUGUGUGUGUGUGUGUGUGUGUGUGUGUGUGUGUGUGUGUGUGUGUGUGUGUGUGUGUGUGUGUGUGUUUUAUGUAUGAGUGACACUGGCCAAGGGCAACAAAAAUCCAAUAAAAAAAUAUGCCCACUGAAAUGGCAGUCCCAUAAAAGGGUCAAAGCAGUGGUCAAAAGUUGAUGAAUAAGUGUCUUGAAACCUCCCUGUUGAAGGAAUUCAAGUCAUAGGAAGGUGGAAAUACAGAAGCAGGCAGGGAGUUCCAGAGAUUACCAGAGAAAGGGAUGAAUGAUUGAGAAUACUUGUUAACUCUUGCAUUAGAGAAGUGGACAGAAUAGGGGUGAGAGAAAUAAGAAAAUCUUGUGCAGCGAGGCCGUGGAAGGAGGGGAAGCAUGCAGUUAGCAAGAUCAGAAGAGCAGUUAGCAUGAAAAUAGCGGUAGAAGACAGCUAGAGAUGCAACAUUGCGGCGGUGAGAGAGAGGCUGAAGACAGUCAGUUAUGUGUGUGUGUGUGUGUGUGUGUGUGUGUGUGUGUGUGCGCUGAUGCAGCUGAGAAGGUUGCCUUAUGAUAAUUAUUGACAAAUGAAGGUAAUGGAUGCGCAUGUCAUUACUACUUUUUUAAGUGUGUGUGUAUGUGUGUGUGUUAUGUACACACACACACACACACACACACACACACACACACACACACACACACACACACACACACACACACACACACACACACACAAAGAGAAGUAACAGACACGCAUCCUUUACCUUCAUUCAUCAAUAAUUGUCAUAAGACGACCUUCCCAGCUGCAUCAUUACACACACACACACACACACACACACACACUUACACACCACGUAGUGUAGUGGUUAGCAUGCUCGGCUCACAACCAAGAAGGCCCAGGUUCGAAUCCCGGGCACGGUGAGGCAGAUGGACAAGCCUCUUAAUGUGUAGCCCUCUUAAUGUGUAGCCUCUUAAUGUGUAGGUACAGGAUGUAACCCGAGGUGAUGUGACUUCGCUGCCCUGGUGUGUGGUGUGUCAUUGGCCUCAGUCCUACCCAAAGAUCAGUCACCAUGAGCUCUGAGCUCUUACACACACACACACACACACACACACACACACACACACACACACACACACACACACACACACACAGAGAGAGAGAGAGAGAGAGAGAGAGCAAAAUGGCCAUGAAUGAAACAGGGAGGAGGGGGAACUGUGUGUGAAUGAAAACAUCAUCUACGUGAAACAUUUGAUUGAUUAUAAAGCACAUGUGCAUCAUAUAUAGUCAUGAAUGUGGAGGAACAGCAGAGUGAGUGAUCAACCACAGAAAGGAGAGAGUCGGACAUGCGGAGAGAAUGGAAGGGGAACAAUUUGAGAAGAUAAGCAUGCAAAUACAUAAAUAUAAGGUGGAAUAACAGUGUUUGGUGUGAAGAUGAAAGAGAGAUGCCUGUUUAUGAAGCAAAAUGGUUGUGCAAGAGAGGAAUGAUUGGAAAACCAUUCCCACCAAAGCCAACAGACCUUACACCAUAUUUUUACAAACCACAGCAUCUCUAUUCAUCCAUUCUGUGUGUCUUCUCUUCUCUCUCUCUCUCCACUCUUAAUGCUGCUGUGGGUCUCUGGGCUGGAGUACAUCAGAGAAAGAUUGACACCGACUUAUAUAUGAGAGGAUGUUGUCUGUAACUAUGCUAUGGGGACAUUGCAAGUUUGUGGGGUGUAGUGAAUGAAUAAGUGUGUCCUCUAUAGCAUACUUAAAAACCACACUCCCCAAAAAUAGAAUUGCAAAUGGUAGCCAGAAUUUACAUGAAUACUGGAGGGUGCUGUCAGGCCAAACCAGCUCCCCAUCUGUGCCUAUGCAGUGUCUGGCCAGCCACUAGUGUGUUUUGGGGGCUCAGACCAGCAGAUUCCCACUGUUUAUUCACUGUUUGUGUUGAUGCAGUGUCUGGCCAGCCACUUGUGUGUUUUGGGGGCUCAGACCAGCAGAUUCCCACUGUUUAUUCACUGUUUGUGUUGAUGCAGUGUCUGGCCAGCCACUUGUGUGUUUUGGGGGCUCAGACCAGGAGAUUCCCAGUGUUUAUUCAUUGUUUGUGUUGAUUUAGUGUUUGGCCAGCCACUUGUGUGUUUUGGGGGCUCAGACCAGCAGAUUCCCACUGUUUAUUCACUGUUUGUGUUGAUCUAGUGUUUGGCCAGCCACUUGUGUGUAUGUAGGGGACUCAGACCAGCAGAUUCCCACUGUUUAUCCACUGUUUGUGUUGAUCUAGUGUUUGGCCAGCCAGUUGUGUGUUUUGGGGGCUCAGACCAGCAGAUUCCAACUGUUUAUUCACUGUUUGUGUUGAUCUAGUGUUUGGCCAGCCACUUGUGUUUAUGUAGGGGAUUCAGACCAGCAGAUUCCCACUGUUUAUCCACUGUUUGUGUUGAUCUAGUGUUUGGCCAGCCAGUUGUGUGUUUUGGGGCUCAGACCAGCAGAUUCCCACUGUUUAUUCACUGUUUGUGUUGAUGCAGUGUCUGGCCAGCCACUUGUGUGUUUUGGGGGCUCAGACCAGCAGAUUCCCACUGUUUAUUCACUGUUUGUGUUGAUGCAGUGUCUGGCCAGCCACUUGUGUGUUUUGGGGGCUCAGACCAGCAGAUUCCCAGUGUUUAUUCACUGUUUGUGUUGAUUUAGUGUUUGGCCAGCCACUUGUGUGUUUUGGGGGCUCAGACCAGCAGAUUCCCACUGUUUAUUCACUGUUUGUGUUGAUCUAGUGUUUGGCCAGCCACUUGUGUGUAUGUAGGGGACUCAGACCAGCAGAUUCCCACUGUUUAUCCACUGUUUGUGUUGAUGCAGUGUUUGGCCAGCCACUUGUGUGUUUUGGGGGCUCAGACCAGCAGAUUCCUACUAUUUAUCCACUGUUUGUGUUGAUCUAGUGUUUGGCCAGCCAGUUGUGUGUUUUGGGGGCUCAGACCAGCAGAUUCCCACUGUUUAUUCACUGUUUGUGUUGAUCUAGUGUUUGGCCAGCCACUUGUGUGUUUUGGGGGUUCAGACCAGCAGAUUCUCACUGUUUAUUCACUGUUUGUGUUGAUCUAGUGUUUGGCCAGCCACUUGUGUGUAUGUAGGGGACUCAGACCAGCAGAUUCCCACUGUUUAUCCAUUGUUUGUGUUGAUGCAGUGUUUAGCCAGCCACUUGUGUGUAUGUAGGGGACUCAGACCAGCAGAUUCCCACUGUUUAUCCACUGUUUGUGUUGAUGCAGUGUUUGGCCAGCCACUUGUGUGUAUGUAGGGGACUCAGACCAGCAGAUUCCCACUGUUUAUUCACUGUUUGUGUUGAUGCAGUAUUUGGCCAGCCACUUGUGUGUAUGUAGCGGACUCAGACCAGCAGAUUCCCACUGUUUAUCCACUGUUUGUGUUGAUGCAGUGUUUGGCCAGCCACUUGUGUGUUUUGGGGGCUCAGACCAGCAGAUUCCUACUAUUUAUCCACUGUUUGUGUUGAUCUAGUGUUUGGCCAGCCACUUGUGUUUAUGUAGGGGACUCAGACCAGCAGAUUCCCACUGUUUAUCCACUGUUUGUGUUGAUCUAGUGUUUGGCCAGCCAUUUGUGUGUUUUGGGGGCUCAGACCAGCAGAUUCCCACUGUUUAUUCACUGUUUGUGUUGAUCUAGUGUUUGGCCAGCCACUAGUGUGUUUUGGGGGCUCAGACCAGCAGAUUCUCACUGUUUAUUCACUGUUUGUGUUGAUCUAGUGUUUGGCCAGCCACUUGUGUGUAUGUAGGGGACUCAGACCAGCAGAUUCCCACUGUUUAUUCACUGUUUGUGUUGAUCUAGUGUUUGGCCAGCCACUUGUGUGUAUGUAGGGGACUCAGACCAGCAGAUUCCCACUGUUUAUCCAUUGUUUGUGUUGAUGCAGUGUUUGGCCAGCCACUUGUGUGUAUGUAGGGGACUCAGACCAGCAGAUUCCCACUGUUUAUCCACUGUUUGUGUUGAUGCAGUGUUUGGCCAGCCACUUGUGUGUAUGUAGGGGACUCAGACCAGCAGAUUCCCACUGUUUAUCCACUGUUUGUGUUGAUCUAGUGUUUGGCCAGCCAGUUGUGUGUUUUGGGGGCUCAGACCAGCAGAUUCCCACUGUUUAUUCACUGUUUGUGUUGAUCUAGUGUUUGGCCAGCCACUUGUGUUUAUGUAGGGGAUUCAGACCAGCAGAUUCCCACUGUUUAUCCACUGUUUGUGUUGAUCUAGUGUUUGGCCAGCCAGUUGUGUGUUUUGGGGGCUCAGACCAGCAGAUUCCCACUGUUUAUUCACUGUUUGUGUUGAUGCAGUGUCUGGCCAGCCACUUGUGUGUUUUGGGGGCUCAGACCAGCAGAUUCCCACUGUUUAUUCACUGUUUGUGUUGAUGCAGUGUCUGGCCAGCCACUUGUGUGUUUUGGGGGCUCAGACCAGCAGAUUCCCAGUGUUUAUUCACUGUUUGUGUUGAUUUAGUGUUUGGCCAGCCACUUGUGUGUUUUGGGGGCUCAGACCAGCAGAUUCCCACUGUUUAUUCACUGUUUGUGUUGAUCUAGUGUUUGGCCAGCCACUUGUGUGUAUGUAGGGGACUCAGACCAGCAGAUUCCCACUGUUUAUCCACUGUUUGUGUUGAUGCAGUGUUUGGCCAGCCACUUGUGUGUUUUGGGGGCUCAGACCAGCAGAUUCCUACUAUUUAUCCACUGUUUGUGUUGAUCUAGUGUUUGGCCAGCCAGUUGUGUGUUUUGGGGGCUCAGACCAGCAGAUUCCCACUGUUUAUUCACUGUUUGUGUUGAUCUAGUGUUUGGCCAGCCACUUGUGUGUUUUGGGGGCUCAGACCAGCAGAUUCUCACUGUUUAUUCACUGUUUGUGUUGAUCUAGUGUUUGGCCAGCCACUUGUGUGUAUGUAGGGGACUCAGACCAGCAGAUUCCCACUGUUUAUCCAUUGUUUGUGUUGAUGCAGUGUUUAGCCAGCCACUUGUGUGUAUGUAGGGGACUCAGACCAGCAGAUUCCCACUGUUUAUCCACUGUUUGUGUUGAUGCAGUGUUUGGCCAGCCACUUGUGUGUAUGUAGGGGACUCAGACCAGCAGAUUCCCACUGUUUAUUCACUGUUUGUGUUGAUGCAGUAUUUGGCCAGCCACUUGUGUGUAUGUAGCGGACUCAGACCAGCAGAUUCCCACUGUUUAUCCACUGUUUGUGUUGAUGCAGUGUUUGGUCAGCCACUUGUGUGUUUUGGGGGCUCAGACCAGCAGAUUCCUACUAUUUAUCCACUGUUUGUGUUGAUCUAGUGUUUGGCCAGCCACUUGUGUUUAUGUAGGGGAUUCAGACCAGCAGAUUCCCACUGUUUAUCCACUGUUUGUGUUGAUCUAGUGUUUGGCCAGCCAGUUGUGUGUUUUGGGGGCUCAGACCAGCAGAUUCCCACUGUUUAUUCACUGUUUGUGUUGAUCUAGUGUUUGGCCAGCCACUUGUGUGUUUUGGGGGCUCAGACCAGCAGAUUCUCACUGUUUAUUCACUGUUUGUGUUGAUCUAGUGUUUGGCCAGCCACUUGUGUGUAUGUAGGGGACUCAGACCAGCAGAUUCCCACUGUUUAUCCAUUGUUUGUGUUGAUGCAGUGUUUAGCCAGCCACUUGUGUGUAUGUAGGGGACUCAGACCAGCAGAUUCCCACUGUUUAUCCACUGUUUGUGUUGAUGCAGUGUUUGGCCAGCCACUUGUGUGUAUGUAGGGGACUCAGACCAGCAGAUUCCCACUGUUUAUUCACUGUUUGUGUUGAUGCAGUAUUUGGCCAGCCACUUGUGUGUAUGUAGCGGACUCAGACCAGCAGAUUCCCACUGUUUAUCCACUGUUUGUGUUGAUGCAGUGUUUGGCCAGCCACUUGUGUGUUUUGGGGGCUCAGACCAGCAGAUUCCUACUAUUUAUCCACUGUUUGUGUUGAUCUAGUGUUUGGCCAGCCACUUGUGUUUAUGUAGGGGACUCAGACCAGCAGAUUCCCACUGUUUAUCCACUGUUUGUGUUGAUCUAGUGUUUGGCCAGCCAUUUGUGUGUUUUGGGGGCUCAGACCAGCAGAUUCCCACUGUUUAUUCACUGUUUGUGUUGAUCUAGUGUUUGGCCAGCCACUAGUGUGUUUUGGGGGCUCAGACCAGCAGAUUCUCACUGUUUAUUCACUGUUUGUGUUGAUCUAGUGUUUGGCCAGCCACUUGUGUGUAUGUAGGGGACUCAGACCAGCAGAUUCCCACUGUUUAUUCACUGUUUGUGUUGAUGCAGUAUUUGGCCAGCCACUUGUGUGUAUGUAGCGGACUCAGACCAGCAGAUUCCCACUGUUUAUCCACUGUUUGUGUUGAUGCAGUGUUUGGCCAGCCACUUGUGUGUUUUGGGGGCUCAGACCAGCAGAUUCCUACUAUUUAUCCACUGUUUGUGUUGAUCUAGUGUUUGGCCAGCCACUUGUGUUUAUGUAGGGGACUCAGACCAGCAGAUUCCCACUGUUUAUCCACUGUUUGUGUUGAUCUAGUGUUUGGCCAGCCACUUGUGUGUUUUGGGGGCUCAGACCAGCAGAUUCCCACUGUUUAUUCACUGUUUGUGUUGAUCUAGUGUUUGGCCAGCCACUAGUGUGUUUUGGGGGCUCAGACCAGCAGAUUCUCACUGUUUAUUCACUGUUUGUGUUGAUCUAGUGUUUGGCCAGCCACUUGUGUGUAUGUAGGGGACUCAGACCAGCAGAUUCCCACUGUUUAUUCACUGUUUGUGUUGAUCUAGUGUUUGGCCAGCCACUUGUGUGUAUGUAGGGGACUCAGACCAGCAGAUUCCCACUGUUUAUCCAUUGUUUGUGUUGAUGCAGUGUUUGGCCAGCCACUUGUGUGUAUGUAGGGGACUCAGACCAGCAGAUUCCCACUGUUUAUCCACUGUUUGUGUUGAUGCAGUGUUUGGCCAGCCACUUGUGUGUAUGUAGGGGACUCAGACCAGCAGAUUCCCACUGUUUAUUCACUGUUUGUGUUGAUGCAGUGUUUGGCCAGCCACUUGUGUGUAUGUAGGGGACUCAGACCAGCAGAUUCCCACUGUUUAUCCACUGUUUGUGUUGAUGCAGUGUUUGGCCAACCACUUGUGUGUUUUGGGGGCUCAGACCAGCAGAUUCCUACUAUUUAUCCACUGUUUGAGUUGAUCUAGUGUUUGGCCAGCCACUUGUGUUUAUGUAGGGGACUCAGACCAGCAGAUUCCCACUGUUUAUCCACUGUUUGUGUUGAUCUAGUGUUUGGCCAGCCACUUGUGUGUUUUGGGGGCUCAGACCAGCAGAUUCCCACUGUUUAUUCACUGUUUGUGUUGAUCUAGUGUUUGGCCAGCCACUAGUGUGUUUUGGGGGCUCAGACCAGCAGAUUCUCACUGUUUAUUCACUGUUUGUGUUGAUGCAGUGUUUGGCCAGCCACUUGUGUGUAUGUAGGGGACUCAGACCAGCAGAUUCCCACUGUUUAUCCAUUGUUUGUGUUGAUGCAGUGUUUGGCCAGCCACUUGUGUGUAUGUAGGGGACUGAGACAAGUUUAUUUAAUGUUCAGUGACCCAUUUGCAGGCACAGGGGUGUUGAGGAGCUGGGUGUGCAGGAGACAGACAAUUACAAAGGUUUACAGUUCAAAUGCUACAUGUAUCUUCAAAAUACAGAUAAUAAGUAGAUAAAUAUUGAAAUUAAUAUAAAAUACCAUUCUUUAUUUAACACUUAACCAAACUUAACCAACAUACACACACACGCUAACUCAGACAGUUCCCUAACUACCUUACCAUCCCGCAGGAGGCCAUGUCGGAGGUGCCGGUGGUGGGGUCGCCAGUUCCGGAGUACGAGGUGGAGGAGGAAAAGGAAGAGGAGGACGAGGAGGAGGCACGGAUAAGGAAGAAGAAAAGAUUAUUACCUGUAGCCCUCCCUCCAGCUGAUAAGGGGAUAUUAAGGAGCCCUUCCUACAGGUUUGUUCGAUGCAAGGAGUUGGCACAGGAGGCGUCCGAGGCUGUGUAGAGCGGCCGUCUGAACCUGGUGCCACAGCUUACUAUGUUCAACAGAAACUUGGACAGUGACAACAAGAACAUCUUCACAAAUACAAGCAGCAGAAAUGAGAGUUCUGAGAAUGAUCCGAGGUGUGACCAGACUUGAUAGAAUUAGAAAUGAAGAAACCAGAGAGAGAUUAGGGAUAACAUCUGUACUGAAGAUAAUUGAAAAGAACAAAUUGAGAUGGUAUGGACAUGUCCAAAGAA